rnacentral:lncRNA from 1 species
GAGCACAGGCUGAGCAGGGCCUGGCCAGCCAACUAAAGACCUUGGCUUCCGCCUGAGCAAGACAGGCGCCACGGGAGGGCUCUGACCCGAGCAGCACCAUGAUGCCUCAUGACCAGUAAGAAGGUCCUCUAAUGUGAGCACAGACUGGAGGGUGCAAGGAAGGAGGAGGAGGAAGCUGCGGUGAUGCGGGAAUGAGAAGUGGAUCAAUGCCAAUGGUGUUAGUGACCGUGUUGGAACCACAGUGAUGCUCCGGGACGAAGAUAAGCCUGUGAUGCUGCGGCUCUUGCUCCGAGGAGCAAAGGUUGCCUGUGUGGGGCCUGCAGCUCUUGUUCAGAGUCAAGCAGUUGCCCAAGGCAUGGUGCACUCAGGGCACUGGAAAGCCCACGGAAGGAAUGAAUAUCACCAGUUGACAAAAAAUGACUUUAGCAGAACCACUCAAAGGACAGUGCUGUGUAGGAAUGGG